rnacentral:rRNA from 1 species
GACGAACGCUGGCGGCGUGCCUAACACAUGCAAGUCGUACGGGACCGGGGGCAACUCCGGUUCAGUGGCAGACGGGUGCGUAACACGUGAGGAACUUGUCCGGUGGCGGGGGAUAGCCGGCCCAACGGCCGGGUAAUACCGCAUACGCUCGUUCGGGGGCAUCCCUGGGCGAGGAAAGCAGCCGCAAGGUUGCGCCGACGGAGGGCCUCGCGACCUAUCAGCUUGUUGGCGGGGUAACGGCCCACCAAGGCGACGACGGGGUAGGCUGGUCUGAGAGGAUGAUCAGCCACAUUGGGACUGAGACACGGCCCAGACUCCUACGGGAGGCAGCAGUGGGGAAUAUUGCGCAAUGGCCGCAAGGCUGACGCAGCGACGCCGCGUGUGGGAUGACGGUCUUCGGAUUGUAAACCACUGUC